rnacentral:rRNA from 1 species
UACAGAGGUCUCAAGCGUUGUUCGGAUUCAUUGGGCGUAAAGGGUGCGUAGGUGGCGGGGUAAGUCAGGUGUGAAAUUUCGGAGCUUAACUCCGAAACUGCAUUUGAUACUGCCUUGCUUGAGGACUGGAGAGGAGACUGGAAUUCACGGUGUAGCAGUGAAAUGCGUAGAGAUCGUGAGGAAGACCAGUGGCGAAGGCGGGGUCUCUGGACAGUUCCUGACACUGAGGCACGAAGG